rnacentral:rRNA from 1 species
AUUGAACGCUGGCGGCAGGCCUAACACAUGCAAGUCGAGCGAGCGGCGGACGGGUGAGUAAUGUCUGGGAAACUGCCUGAUGGAGGGGGAUAACUACUGGAAACGGUAGCUAAUACCGCAUACCAUCAGAUGUGCCCAGAUGGGCGUAGCUAGUAGGUGGGGUAACGGGUCACCUAGGCGACGAUCCCUCUCGGGUCUGAGAGGAUGACCGGCCACACUGGAAAUGAAAAACGGUCCAGACUCCUACGGGAGGCAGCAGUGGGGAAUAUUGCACAAUUGGCGCAAGCCUGAUGCAGCCAUGCCGCGUGUGUGAAGAAGGCCUUCGGGUUGUAAAGCACUUUCAGCGGGGAGGCGGUACCCGAAGAAGAAGCACCGGCUAACUCCGUGCCAGCCGCCGCGGUAAUUG